GUGGCUGUGGGGUAGGUAAAAACGAGUUAUGCAGAGUGUGAAACUCACAGGACAACAAUGAAAUUAUGACGGGUGGGGGAGGGAUGGAGAGAGAGGGCAUGCAAAGGUUUACUUUAAACUAGAGAAAUCAAUAUUCAUACCUCUGGAUUACAAGCUGCCCUAAGUGAAAUUUGAGUGGCACCACCAGCAGCUCCAGCGGGCGCCCGGCCUGCCCAUGGCCGGCAGGAGCCCGUCCGCAGACUUUCUCUCCGACCAGGAUGACUCCAGCAGCAGCAGCUCUAAGUUGCCUGUCUUCAAGCAGGGCCGGCGGCUGCCCAUCUUCAGCAGGAUCUCAGUGUCGGGCUGAAGUACUGACAGGCAGAGUCGAGCUGGAGACAGCGGCUGCAGCGUCGGCUGCGUCCAGGGCCGCCCCGCCAGCCCAGAGCCACCCCGGACACCUCCAGACAGGGACAGGACACUGGGGAGGGGACAGGGAUGGCCCAGCAGCAACUCAACAGCGGCCGCAACGACAGAGUGCCGACCCCGACCCCGACCAUGGAUGAAACCCAAGCCUGCACACAGUGCAUCACCAACCAACGUUGCUGAGACUAUUUAUAGCUAGUGACCUAUGACCUGGGCAUGCGCUGUCAGAAUACCGAACUCGCUUAUUCUUUCAAGCCAAACGUUUCAGUCUAGGCAAUGGCCACAAAAGUCUCUCCUGCACCCUAUCCAGUACAAACAAAUGUUUCCUGUAAUGGGUUAAUCAGAAUUGGUCACCAUACUGGAGGGCAGCACAGUGCCUUAGCGGUUAGCAUGGCUGCUGUGCAGUUCUAGCAAUCUGGGUUUGAUCCUGACCUUGCAUGUUGACUGUGUUGAGUCUGCAUGUAUUUCCUUUGACUACGUGGGUUUCCUCAGGUUGUGCCAGGUCCCUCCCACAUUCCAAAGGUCUUCUGGUGUACUAAUUGUCAUUUGUAAAUUACCACCUGGUGAGGGAUAACAAUAAAAACAAUCAAAGGGAA